AUUGAACGCUGGCGGCGGGCCUAACACAUGCAAGUCGAGCGAGCGGCGGACGGGUGAGUAAUGUCUGGGAAACUGCCUGAUGGAGCGGGAUAACUACCGGAAACGGUAGCUAAUACCGCAUACUAUCAGCUGUGCCCAGAUGGGAUUAGCUAGUAGGUGGGGUAACGGCUCACCAAGGCGACGAUCCCUAGCUGAUCUGAGAGGCUGACCAGCCACACUGGAACUGAGACACGGUCCAGACUCCUACGGGAGGCAGCAGUGGUGAAUAUUGCACAAUGGGCGAAAGCCUGAUGCAGCCACGCCGCGUGUGUGAAGAAGGCCUUCGGGUUGUAAAGCACUUUCAGCAGGGAGGCGUUACCCGCUCAAGAAGCACCGGCUAACUCCGUGCCAGCAGCCGCGGUAAUUC
rnacentral:rRNA from 1 species